rnacentral:rRNA from 1 species
GACAGAGGUGGCAAGCGUUGUCCGGAGUUACUGGGCGUAAAGGGCGCGGAGGCGGUCUGCGGCGUCGGCGCUGAAAGCGCCCCGCUUAACGGGGCGAGGCGUGCCGAUAUGCGCAGACUUGAGGCGAGCAGAGGGUGGUGGAAUUCCGGGUGGAGCGGUGAAAUGCGUAGAGAUCCGGAGGAACGCCAGUGGGGAAGCCGGCCACCGUGGCGCGGCCGGGAGCGGAGGAGAGAAAGAGUGGGGAGCAAACCGG